UGUGUGUGUGUGUGUGUGUGUGUGUGUGUGUGUGUGUGUGUGUGUGUGUGGGUGUGUUAGCUAGUGUUUGUGUACGAUAUUUCUGAGUCAGUCAGUCAUACAGACGGAGCAGGAAUCGAGGUCCUUUGAAUGGUGUAUUCACAAGCAUAUUACAUUGAAGAUAAAAUUUAGGGUUUGAAGAUUUUUUACACUUUGAUUUUGGGCAUUUUGCAGACGCUUUUAUUCAAAGCGACUUACAUUAAGUACAUUUUAAGAUUAAACACUUCUGGUUUUUCAGUCUGUGCAUCCCUUAAUGCUGUAAUGGCUUCUAAAUGGGUGCAGUGUGCUUAAGCUAUCCCACUCAAUACAGCAACAAUUCAAAAGGUUUGUGUUUCAUGCUCUGUGAUACUUUGAAUGCCAAAACGAUGGCAAGAACUAAAGGGCCUACUUUAAUUAAUGUUUUUAUUUGUAAUUUUUUUAAGCAAAGUGGGAUGUUUUAUUUUAAUCUGCCUAAUGUCGAAGUUUUAAUCUCUUGGCCCUGCGCCAUGUAAUGUGCCUCCUCAGGGAUGUAUUGCUGGUCAUUCAGUGUCUUUCCUUUUUUGUUGAUUUACAAGUUAUGUUAAAGAGCGUCCUCUUCUUCCCGUGCUGUUAUGUGACAAGCUCAAUUGCACUACUUCUGCUACUUUAAUUAAGUUAGCAAUAAAGGCUGGAUUGGUUACUAUUCAA